AGCAGCCGCGGUAAUUCCAGCUCCAAUAGCGUAUAUUAAAGUUGUUGCAGUUAAAAAGCUCGUAGUUGAAUUUCGGGAUCAAUGCGUCGGUCGUGCCUUCGGUACGUACUAGCGUCAUUGAUUCCUCCCUUCUGAAGAACCGUGAUGUCAUUAAUUUGGUGUUACGGGGAAUCAGGACUGUUACCUUGAAGAAAUUAGAGUGUUUAAAGCAGGCUAACGCUUGAAUACAUUAGCAUGGAAUAAUGAAAUAGGACGUUCGAACCUAUUUUGUUGGUUUCUAGGAUCGACGUAAUGAUUAAUAGGGAUAGUUGGGGGCAUUAGUAUUCAAUUGUCAGAGGUGAAAUUCUUGGAUUUAUUGAAGACUAACUACUGCGAAAGCAUUUGCCAAGGAUGUUUUCAUUAAUCAAGAACGAAAGUUAGGGAUCGAAGACGAUCAGAUACCGUCGUAGUCUUAACCAUAAACUAUGCCGACUAGGGAUCGGAUGAUGUAAUUUUUAUGACUUCAUUCGGCGCCUUACGG
rnacentral:rRNA from 1 species